rnacentral:rRNA from 1 species
UACGGGGGGGGCAAGCGUUGUUCGGAAUUACUGGGCGUAAAGGGCGCGUAGGCGGCCUGCUAAGUCGGACGUGAAAUCCCUCGGCUCAACCGAGGAACUGCGUCCGAUACUGGUGGGCUUGAAUCCGGGAGAGGGAUGUGGAAUUCCAGGUGUAGCGGUGAAAUGCGUAGAUAUCCGGAGGAACACCAGUGGCGAAAGCGGCCACCUGGACUGCACCUGACGCUGACACGCGAAAGCUAGGGGAGCGAACGGG